UACGUAUGGUGCAAGCGUUAUCCGGAAUGACUGGGUGUAAAGGGAGCGUAGACGGUUGUUCAAGUCUGAUGUGAAAGCCCUCGGCUUAACUGGGGGAGUGCAUUGGAAACUGAAGGACUAGAGUAUCGGAGAGGCAAGUGGAAUUCCUAGUGUAGCGGUGAAAUGCGUAGAUAUUAGGAGGAACACCAGUGGCGAAGGCGGCUUGCUGGACGGAAACUGACGUUGAGGCUCGAAAGCGUGGGGAGCAAACAGG
rnacentral:rRNA from 1 species